UUUUUCUAUGUUUCAUUUUCUUCAGGAUUGAAAUUGUAGAUAAAUGCUUUUGCCAUGACACAAUGGAACAGAUUGUUGAUUCUUUGGAAAGAGUGGCAAGUGAAACAAAUGAUGCAUGGUGCAUUUCUACCCUAAAUAGACUUAAAGAAGCUUCGCCAUUGAGCUUGAAGGUUUCCCUGAGAUCAAUACGAGAGGGUAGAUUUUAAACUCUUGACCAGUGCUUGUUGCGUGAGUACCAUAUAUACGACUUUACAAGCAAAAUCUAAG